AAAAAAAAAAAUGAAUAUUUUAUUCACUUUCACAGUAGAAUAGUAUAUUCCAGAUAACUACUAUAUUAUUUACAACCAAUAAAAAUUUGGUUUGAAUAAUAAUUCCACAGCCUCUGUCAAAUAAAACAGAAUAAAGAAAUGAUUAAAAAUAAAUGAUUGAUUUUGGCACAUACUGGAUAUUUAUCGUAUUAUAUACAUACAUGUAAUUAUAAGAAAAGGACAAAUGUGUUUAGAACCCUUAAACAAAAUGUGCCCUUUUGUCACAUAUUUACUCUUUAGUUAAGUAAGGUAAUAUAGUUUUUGCAAAUAAGUUUAUACAGUUAUAAGGGUACUACUAAAAAAAAACAGUAAGCGAUUGUAAGUUUAAUUUUAAAUAGACAUAUUUGAUAUAAGAACAGGGAUGCAAAAACAAUGUUGUUAUCAGAGAUAUUUUUCUCUCUUUUUUUUGUAUCAAUAGGAUGUGCUUGUACAUAUACUUUUUGUUUCAGUAACCAUCAAACUUAAAAUUCAACAGAAGGUUAAAUUGAAUAUUCAACAGAAGGUUAAAUUGAAUAUUCAACAGAAGGUUAAAUUGAAUAUUCAACAGAAGAUAAAUUGAAUAUUCAACAGAAGAUAAAAUUGAAUAUUCAACAGAAGAUAAAAUUGAAUAUUCAACAGAAGGUUAAAUUGAAUAUUCAACAGAAGAUAAAUUGAAUAUUCAACAGAAGAUAAAAUUGAAUAUUCAACAGAAGAUUAAAUUGAAUAUUCAACAAGAUUAAUAUGAAUAUAUUUUUAAAGGUAAAUCAUAAUAUUCGAACUUGUUUAUAAUACUGGUCUAUAUUGAAUGACAUGAAUACAUACAUUUUGUUUAAGUAGUGGUUUGCAUAGCUAUAAGGGCAUAUUUUCAUAUAAGGUUUCAAACAUGUUAUUUUUGUUUUACUGUCAUGUGUUUAGAAAUUGGUAUCAUUUUAUGUGCAAUCAGUGGAUUACUAUCAUGUGAGCAUACAGAAAUAAAAUGUUC
rnacentral:lncRNA from 1 species